CACACACCCCACCUUAUCUUUCAUCAAUCUAUUUGCUUCUGUAAUUCAAUCUUUACCAAGUGAAGUCAUGAGCUGCAACGAUCAAAACAUGAUUCCUGUUGCAUACCCUCCUCCUCCUGCUGCCAUGGGCAUGGAGAAACCAGUAGGAUACCCAACAAGGGAUGCCACUGAAAAUCAAGUUCCGGCACACACUCACGCUCAGAGCAGCAGCAGGGGCGAUGGCUUCUGGAAAGGAUGUUGUGCUGCUCUAUGUUGUUGUUGCGUCUUGGAUGCCUGCUUCUAACAUCCAUUGCCAAAUGCCAAAUUGCCAUUUGCCAUGAGAAGUAGAAAGUGAUGCCUCCUCUUUUAUGUUUUUUGUGCUUAACGUUUUGUUGAAUGAGAAUAUACAUACAUACAUAUGUAUGUAUGUAUUACCUACUACAAGUCAAGUGAAAGUGAGUAAUAGAAAUAAAUCCAUUUUAGUGU